rnacentral:rRNA from 1 species
GACAGAGGUGCCGAGCGUUAGGCGGAAUCACUGGGCUUAAAGCGUGUGUAGGUGGAUGCCUAAGUACCUUGUGAAAUCCCACAGCUUAACUGUGGAACUGCUUGGUAUACUGAGUGUCUUGAGUCACUCAGGGGCGAGCGGAACAAAUGGUGGAGCGGUGAAAUGCGUAGAUAUCAUUUGGAACGCCAAUGGUGAAAAACAGCUCGCUGGGGGUGCACUGACACUGAGACACGAAAGCCAGGGGAGCGAAACGGG